GAAGAUGAAGAAGGAGAAGAAGGUCCAAGUCAGGCCCGCCCAAUAGCAGCGUGCCAUAUCUAGGUAUGGAUGGUUAAUCGUUUUCACAUUUAAAGUCCAGAGCUUAUAAACCAUGUCAACCGUUAGAUGUGAAAUUAGCAUUAAUAUAUAUAAUAACAUAACACUGGAAGGUUGGCCUAGUCCCAUUUCAUCGAGUGAUUAAAGAUAUAUCACUUAUAUUUGAGUCUUUAUGUAAUGAUAGAGUCAGUUUUAAAGUUUUAAAUUCGAAUAUCAAUUAGAAUUAAUUAUAUUAAAAAAAUUUAUAAUAUUAAAACAUUAUAGAAGCUAUACACAUUAUAAAUUGGUAAUUAAUUGUGUACAUAAAUUCUACUCCAUAUAUAUCCUGAUGUUGAAAUGUAGCUUAAGAGGCUACAACUACUAUACAAAUGUAUGUAUAUAUUUUGUUGUAAAUCCCAUGAUUGGAUAAUAUUAAGUUGUAUUUGGAUAGAGACUAGAGAAUCAUUUAAAAUGAAACAUUUGUUUGUUUAAUUUA
rnacentral:misc_RNA from 1 species